rnacentral:miRNA from 1 species
AACAAGGUACAUAUCAGAGUGUUUC